GUGACUGCGUACCUUUUGUAUAAUGGGUCAGCGACUUACAUUCAGUGGCAAGCUUAACCGUAUAGGGAAGGCGUAGAGAAAUCGAGUCCGAAUAGGGCGUUCAGUCGCUGGGUGUAGACCCGAAACCAAGUGAUCUACUCAUGGCCAGGAUGAAGGUGCGGUAACACGCACUGGAGGUCCGAACCCACUAAUGUUGAAAAAUUAGGGGAUGAGCUGUGGGUAGGGGUGAAAGGCUAAACAAACUUGGAAAUAGCUGGUUCUCUCCGAAAACUAUUUAGGUAGUGCCUCAAGUAUCACCAUCGGGGGUAGAGCACUGUUAUGGCUAGGGGGUCAUCGAGACUUACCAAACCAUUGCAAACUCCGAAUACCGAUGAGUGCGAGCUUGGGAGACAGACGCCGGGUGCUAACGUCCGACGUCAAGAGGGAAACAACCCAGACCGCCAGCUAAGGUCCCAAAGAUUGGCUAAGUGGCAAACGAAGUGGGAAGGCUAAAACAGUCAGGAGGUUGGCUUAGAAGCAGCCAUCCUUUAAAGAAAGCGUAAUAGCUCACUGAUCGAGUCGUCCUGCGCGGAAGAUGUAACGGGGCUAAGCCAGUCACCGAAGCUGCGGAU
rnacentral:rRNA from 1 species